rnacentral:rRNA from 1 species
GACGAACGCUGGCGGCGUGCUUAACACAUGCAAGUCGAACGGAAAGGCCUGCUUUCCCUUGUGGAUUGCGGGUACUCGCGUGGCGAACGGGUGAGUAACACGUGAGUGAUCUGCCCCCAACUUGGGUAUAAGCCUGGGAAACUGGGUCUAAUUCCCGAUAGGACUGCAGGGUGGUGCCUGUGGUGGAAAACGAUUUUCUAGUGGUUGGGGAUGAGCUCGCGGCCUAUCAGCUUGUUGGUGGGGUAAUGGCCUACCAAGGCGGGGACGGGUAGCCGGCCUGAGAGGAUGGACAGUCACAUUGGGACUGGGACACGGCCCAGACUCCUACGGGAGGCAGCAGUGGGGAAUAUUGGACAAUGGGCGGAAGCCUGAUGCAGCGACGCCGCGUGGGGGAUGACGGCCUUCGGGUUGUAAACUCCUUGCGACCGCGAGGAAGCCACCUGGUUGGAAGGGUGGUGACGGUAGUGGUAGAAGAAGCACCGGCUAACUACGUG